GAUGAAGAACGCAGCGAAAUGCGAUAAGUAAUGUGAAUUGCAGAAUUCAGUGAAUCAUCGAAUCUUUGAACGCACAUUGCGCCCGCCAGUAUUCUGGCGGGCAUGCCUGUCUGAGCGUCAUUUCAACCCUCAUGCCCCUAGGGCGUGGUGUUGGGGAUCGGCCAAAGCCCGCGAGGGACGGCCGGCCCCUAAAUCUAGUGGCGGACCCGUCGUGGCCUCCUCUGCGAAGUAGUGAUAUUCCGCAUCGGAGAGCGAUGAGCCCCUGCCGUUAAACCCCCAACUUUCCAAGGUUGACCUCAGAUCAGGUAGGAAUACCCGCUGAACUUAAGCAUAUCAAUAAGCCGGAGGA
rnacentral:misc_RNA from 1 species